rnacentral:rRNA from 1 species
UACGUAGGGUGCAAGCGUUAAUCGGAAUUACUGGGCGUAAAGCGUGCGCAGGCGGUGAUGUAAGACAGGUGUGAAAUCCCCGGGCUUAACCUGGGAACUGCAUUUGUGACUGCAUCGCUGGAGUGCGGCAGAGGGGGGUAGAAUUCCACGUGUAGCAGUGAAAUGCGUAGAGAUGUGGAGGAAUACCGAUGGCGAAGGCAGCCCCCUGGGCCAAUACUGACGCUCAUGCACGAAAGCGUGGGGAGCAAACAGGAUUAGAAACCCGUAGGUAG